UACCCUUCUGGUCACCAGCCUUAUCCGCCAACUCAGGGACUCCACUUCGACUUCCACAGCCAUCACCUGACCCCCAGAGCCCUAUCCUUGCCAAUACGGCCACCAGCGGCCCUGUCCUCUCAAAUCUAGCUACCAUCGACCUCGAGCUCCUCCCAAUGCCCAUGAUAAGACGUCAGUGGGAAAAUAUCCAUCCAUGAAGAUGUCUCAAACUCCUCUUGUCACUGCAAUCUGAGAGAUGCAGCUUGCCCGGACCUCCAUGACCGUAUCCAGUGAUGGGAAACCCCUGGCGAGAUCCUCGAUCAGACAGAAAGCAUCAUUGAAGACCGGGAUCCCGUCGAGCUCGAGCCCAGCAUCAAGGUACGACACCCCCUUGCCCUCACGUGCCCGCUGUCAGGGGUUACAUUCCUGAGCUAUGGGCUACGGUAGCCUAUGAAUAUUGAGAGGGAGCGGCGGGGGCCGCGGUGGCGCCGACAGAUGGGGUAGGCCAGAAGGAGGAUGUAUGCUGGAGGCUCGUGGUAGGGGUCUCCGAUCUGGGAGGCGGGGAUGCUGUAGUAUGGAGGCAGAGGCAUUGGAGAGAGGAGCGGCACCAUCGAAUCUCUGGUUUUCACCAUCGUUCUGUCCAUCGGUUCUCCUUACUCUCCCAAAAAUACAAAAAAAAACUUCCUUCGAAACUUUUUAUUGUUGACACAUAGCGGAUGGUGCUUGAGAAAAAUACACAUGUAGCGGAUGUUGCUUGGAGAAAAAUAGAUACAUGGCAGACGGAGGCUGAUGUUGGCCACCUUCGCCGGCUUCCACCACCCGUUCGAGUCAAGUGGCGAGUCGGCCGAGUAAGGGGUGCCGUUGGUGAACUCAGCUGGGAUGAGGAUGAGUUAGGGCUAGCCACCUCCGGACGUAACUCGGCCUCCUUCUUCGACUUCAAUCCCGCCCUCGGUGGCCUCGGUUGGCGGAUCCGGACGGUCAUAAUCCACGGCCCCAGUCGGGGGCGGCUGCUGGUCACAUGAGCGACAUCAUCCGCCGACGGCACCACCCCUCUCUCCACCAUCAUCGGUGUCACGUCCAGUUCCUUGCCCCAAACUCCCGAAUCCACGAAACUUAGAUUGAAAAGGGCAAUCACUCCUUUCCCAGCUCGAUUCGGCCUGCGGAAAGCGGCACACAUUAUCGGAAUAUCCCAAUCGGCCCCAAAGUUAGCAGACGCUGAGGAUGUUCUGGAAGAUAAAUGGAUGCCAAAAGGUACCCUUCAUUCUCCGGAUCAGGACAGCCACCUUCAGAGGUUUGUCGGCAUCGAUAGCUAUCCGGAUCCCGACGUAUCCCGUCUUUCGGAGCUGGUCCGUAAAAUCAUCCGUGGACAACGUCUCUCAGGCCUUCGAUGCAACGCCCAAAAUCUUCUCUUGCUUCCCGUAUUCGAUGGGUAGCUCAGAAAGUUUGAGUUAAACCACCAUCCAGCGAACAAUGUUUGGCCUCAGGACAUAAUCCGCCACCCACAUCUCCAUAGCAAGGAGCUGGCUGGCAACAAAUCAUGGGCUGCCCCUGAGCACCGCUUCACAGUUGGCCGCUGCUCGGAACCGGAGCAUAUAGUACGUCCUCUGCCAUCGCAAAGAUCUCAGGGUCAUACUCCAACUUACACUUCUCUUUCACCUCCUUCGCCACCCAGUACAACGGUACUCGUCAGCCGAGGCUACGAAUAAAGACGGUGACGUUCUCCCAUUCCUCCUGGGAUACCGCCAUUUCCUCCUACGGAAACUCGAGGACUUCAGUGAAGUAGUGCUAAAGCCUCUCCACCUCUUCCUUGGUGAUCUUAUGCGACGUCCACAUCGAUCGACUGCCUUGGGCCUCCCUGUGCCACCCUCGCCCACGACCGACCUCCUCUCCCAGAAUCAACAGACGACCGACCACUCUCGCCAUUGCUUCCAGCCUUCCUUUCUAUCUUUCAAACGUCCACCAGUUGCUCCACAGAAAGCUUCAAAGAGGGCACGAAAAUCCAGACACAGCACUCACGACCGCUCACGAGCGAACCUUUAUUUGCUGUUGUGAGUUGCAAUAUUCCUCCCACGUUACAUGGCAUAGAAUGAAUUAUUUGCCUCAAAUGGUAGCCCAA